UCAAGCUUCGCAGCCAGCACUUGAAA
rnacentral:piRNA from 1 species